AACGUAGGACGCGAGCGUUAUCCGGAGUUACUGGGCGUAAAGCGCGGGCAGGCGGUCUGACAGGUCUGAUGUGAAAUCUCCGGGCUUAACCGGGAGAGGCCAUUGGAAACUGACAGGCUGGAGGGCAGUAGAGGUAGGCGGAAUUCCGGGUGGAGUGGUGAAAUGCGUAGAGAUCCGGAGGAACACCAGAGGCGAAGGCGGCCUACUGGGCUGCACCUGACGCUGAGCCGCGAAAGCCAGGGGAGCGAACGGG
rnacentral:rRNA from 1 species